rnacentral:rRNA from 2 species
AACAGCUGAACCAGCCAUUUGGUGGAAUGUAAUUAUCAGUUAAUGAAUAAAAUUCUGGAUAGGUAAUUGAUAAUGACAAACAUCUAUUCACAUAUCUUGACCAAUGCUUGUGCCAGCAGUCGCGGCAACACAAGUAAGAUUAGUGUUAUUCAUCUUUAUUAGGUUUAAAGGGUACCUAGAUGGCAUUUUUAACUUUCAAAGUAUAUAUUUGCUAGAGUUUUAUGUGAGAGGUAAAUAUUAGGACUGUCGGAGUAGAGAUAAAAUUCUUUGAUACUGAUAGAAUGUGUAAAGGCGAAGACAACCCUCUAUGUAUAAACUGACAUUAAGGGACGAAGGCUUGGGGAGCAAACAGGAUUAGACACCCUAAUAGUCCAGGCAGAAAAUGAUGAGUGUUAUAUGUUAGAUUGUUUUGAUGUAUAAAUGAAAGUGUAAGCAUUCCACCUCAAGAGUAAUGUGGCAACGCAGGAACUGAAAUCAUUAGACCGUUUCUGAAACCAGUAGUGAAGUAUGUUGUCUAACUCGAUGACCCUCGAAAAACCUUACCACAAUUUGAAUGGUAUCUUAGUGAUUAUAUUUACUUAAAAUAAUAAUUACUCAGGUAUUACAGGUGUUGCACGGCUGUCUAAAGCUAAUGUCGUGAGACCUUGGUUAGAUCCAUUAAAUUGGCGUAAUCCCUUACUUUAUUUGUAAAUAAUAAGGAAAGCACUCUAUUGAAUUAUCAGUUAGGAUAAUAGGAAGAAGACAAGUCAUCAUGGCCUU